GAUGAACGCUGGCGGCGUGCCUAAUACAUGCAAGUCGAGCGAACAGACGAGGAGCUUGCUCCUCUGACGUUAGCGGCGGACGGGUGAGUAACACGUGGAUAACCUACCUAUAAGACUGGGAUAACUUCGGGAAACCGGAGCUAAUACCGGAUAAUAUUUUGAACCGCAUGGUUCAAUAGUGAAAGACGGUUUUGCUGUCACUUAUAGAUGGAUCCGCGCCGCAUUAGCUAGUUGGUAAGGUAACGGCUUACCAAGGCAACGAUGCGUAGCCGACCUGAGAGGGUGAACGGCCACACUGGAACUGCGACACGGUCCAGACUCCUACGGGAGGCAGCAGUAGGGAAUCUUCCGCAAUGGGCGAAAGCCUGACGGAGCAACGCCGCGUGAGUGAUGAAGGUCUUCGGAUCGUAAAACUCUGUUAUUAGGGAAGAACAAAUGUGUAAGUAACUAUGCACAUCUUGACGGUACCUAAUCAGAAAGCCACGGCUAACUACGUG
rnacentral:rRNA from 1 species